rnacentral:lncRNA from 1 species
CUUCUCCCAGAGAAGCUUUUGUCUUUGCAAUCCUGAAUGCAUUUCUCUUCAUAUUAGAUUUUACCAGUCACCUUGUUGAUUAUGAAAUGCUAAGUCAGGGUCUUUAUUAGACUGACUUUGCUUUCCCUUUAAUAAUUCAGGUAAUUAUUAUAUUUACAGAAUUUGCCUAUUUUUUGAAAUCAACACUUUGUUAAUCACCAGACCCAUGACAAUCUAUAAGUAGCCACUUUACGUGGCUUAUAGAUCUAAAGUGAAUGUUGGUUUUCACACAUUCAUUCAUAACUAUUAUUUUUACUGAUAUAUUAGGCAAAAUAUAAGAUUCAUUUAUGAGUUUGUUCAUCAAGACCCUGUCUUCUACCCAAAGGGGUGUGGCAUUGUCUGGUGAUGUGGGCUGCUUAAGCACGUUUAAACACAGUAGUCCAACACCAGUAAAUGAUACCCUACAGCAGGGAGAUGUUUCCUUAUGGUUCUGUUGAAUUCUCUGGCAGAAUGUGAAUUCUAUCCAACCUCAAGAUUUGUUGCUUAUCUAGUACGAUUGGCUGCCUUGUCCACAACAUCCUAAAGGCCCUCUGCUCUUUUCUCUUAAAGGGCACUCUAAAGUGCCUUCCCAGUGUGUAGGAACAGGACUGAAAGGGCCGUUUUUC